GACGGCCAUACCAUGCUGAAUAUACCGGUUCUCGUUAGAUCACCGAAGUCAAGCAUCAUUGGGGGCGUGACCAACUGGGAACACCGCGUGCCGUU